AGAACGAACGCUGGCGGCGUGGAUAAGACAUGCAAGUCGAGCGGAACAAAUUUUGUAGUAAUACAAAGUUUGUUUAGCGGCGAACGGGUGCGUAACACGUGAGUAAUCUACCGGAAAGUGGGGGAUAGCUCGCCGAAAGGCGAAUUAAUACCGCAUGUGGUUGAGGGGGGCAUUCUCCGAAUACCAAAGCAGCAAUGCGCUUUCCGAUGAGCUCGCGGCCUAUCAGCUUGUUGGUGAGGUAAAAGCUCACCAAGGCUACGACGGGUAGCUGGUCUGAGAGGACGACCAGCCACACUGGGACUGAGACACGGCCCAGACACCUACGGGUGGCAGCAGUCGAGAAUUUUCACAA
rnacentral:rRNA from 1 species